rnacentral:rRNA from 1 species
UUACACGGAUAACUGUGGUAAUUCUAGAGCUAAUACGUGCAAUUAGCUCGCUUCCUUGUGGAGCGAGCGCAGUUAUUAGAUCAAAACCAAUCCGGCCUUCGGGUCGGUACAAUUGGUGACUCUGAAUAACCGAAGCGGAGCGCAUGGUCUCGUACCGGCGCCAGAUCUUUCAAGUGUCUGACUUAUCAGCUUGUUGUUAGGUUACGUUCCUAACAAGGCUUCAACGGGUAACGGGGUAUCAGGGUCGAUACCGGAGAGGGAGCCUGAGAAACGGCUACCACAUCCAAGGAAGGCAGCAGGCGCGCAAAUUACCCACUCCUAGCACAGGGAGGUAGUGACGAAAAAUAACGAUGCGAGGGCUAUUAGCUUCUCGUAAUCGGAAUGGGUACACUUUAAAUCCUUUAACGAGGAUCUAUUGGAGGGCAAGUCUGGUGCCAGCAGCCGCGGUAAUUCCAGCUCCAAUAGCGUAUAUUAAAGUUGCUGCGGUUAAAAAGCUCGUAGUUGGAUCUGGGCUUCUGAAUGGAUGGUGCACUUUUCGGUGCAACUGUUCGUUUGGUGCCACAAGCCGGCCAUGUCUUGCAUGCUCUUCAUUGAGUGUGCAUGGCGACCGGAACGUUUACUUUGAAAAAAUUAGAGUGCUCAAAGCAGGCGUACGGCCUUGCAUAAUGGUGCAUGGAAUAAUGGAAUAGGACCUCGGUUCUAUUUUGUUGGUUUUCGGAACUCGAGGUAAUGAUUAAUAGGAACAGACGGGGGCAUUCGUAUUGCGGCGUUAGAGGUGAAAUUCUUGGAUCGUCGCAAG